CCAACUUAGCCUCAUUUUUCUUCUCCUCAGUUUUUGUUGGCUCUGACUUCAGGUGUGAUAGGUCAGUAUUUCUGCAUCCCUGAACAGAUGGUCUACAGCUGUUGAUGGUAGAGCAAUUUAUGGUAUGCAAGUCCUCAAUCAGGAGCUCUACAUGCUUCAACAACCUCUGAGGGACUGACUACCUCCUCAAUGUAUUUGCCAAAAUGCUGACUCAGUCUUGGAGUCAAUGGUCUUGACCCUCAGUAUCAUCUGGAAUGCUCAGGAUUUUUUCUACAGGAGAGCCGGUGGAACUUCUAGAAUUUCUGUCCUGGGAUAAUGUUCAUUGAUCUCCAAUCUCUCUUCUAAGGUAUCUACUGGGUAUUGAUGAUUCUCAUAGCAUGGACUGUUGAUAAUGACUUUUAAAAAGUCUUGUUCACAGCCCUUUGUCGGUGACCACAAACUAAAACUCCACCUUUAGCUGAGGAUUGAUGGGAGCAGAAUGGACCAAGAAUGUCACUUAGGAGUGGUAACUGAAAUACAGAGAGCAAAGAAAUCCCAGAGCAAGCAAGAAAGAAAAAUAGAGAGGAGAGGCAGAGAAAGAGAGAAGGAGGAAAGAAGAAAGGAAAGAAAAAAGAAAGACAUCUGUCCAUUAUGACAAGGUUUGACUAUUUGCGCCAUAUAUUACUGUUCCUUAGAGGCUUUGAGACACAAGUGUAAGGCAUGUGACAAAAUAACUACUAAAUAACUAAAAUACAAAAUACAAAAUAACUAGCACAAAAUAACUACUCAUGUAAGAGGGAACAGAACUUUCUGCCACUGAUCAUACAUGCAAAAAAGGGAUCUGAGAUCUCCUGGAGCUGGCUGUUCUCUCUACUGAUGCAGAUCACCGCUCGUCUAUGGCCAUCCAUCCUGCAUGAUGUUUUUCAUAACAUAG
rnacentral:lncRNA from 1 species